GAUGAACGCUAGCGGCAGGCCUAACACAUGCAAGUCGAGGGGUAGCAGGAUUAAGCUUGCUUAAUUGCUGACGACCGGCGCACGGGUGCGUAACGCGUAUGCAACCUACCUUAUACUGGGGUAUAGCCCGGAGAAAUUCGGAUUAAUCCCCCAUAGUACUAAUGAAUCGCAUGGUUUAUUAGUUAAAGCAUUGCGGUAUAAGAUGGGCAUGCGUCCUAUUAGCUAGAUGGUGAGGUAACGGCUCACCAUGGCUACGAUAGGUAGGGGGCCUGAGAGGGUGGUCCCCCAGACUGGUACGGAGACCCGGACCAGCCUCCUACGGGAGGCAGCAGUGAGGAAUAUUGGUCAAUGGGCGCAAGCCUGAACCAGCCAUGCCGCGUGCAGGAAGAAUGCCCUAUGGGUUGUAAACUGCUUUUAUUUGGGAAUAAACCUCUUUACGUGUAGAGAGCUGAAGGUACCAAAUGAAUAAGCACCGGCUAACUCCGUGCCAGCCGCCGCCGUAA
rnacentral:rRNA from 1 species